CUCAUGAGAGUGAUAUCGUCUUUCAACCCUGCAAGGCAAUCCCUGACGCACCACCGUGAUGCCCAGGGAAGACAGGGUGACCUGGGAGUCCAACUACUUCCUUAAGAUCAUCUAACUUUGGGAUGAUUAUCUAAAAUGCUUCAUUGUGGGAGCAAUGUGGGCUCCAAGCAGAUGCAGCAGAUCCUCAUGUCCCUCUGUGGGAAGGCUGUGGUGCUGAUGGGCAAGAACACCAUGAUGCACCAGGUCAUUCAAGGGCAUCUGGAAAACAACCCAGCUCUGGAGAAACUGUUGCUUCAUAUCUGGGGGAAAGUAGGCUUUGUGUUCAUGAAGGAGGACCUCACUGAGAUCAGGGACAUGCUGCUGGCCAAUAAGGUGCCAGCUGCCACCUGUAUUGCUACCAUUGCCCCAUGUGAAGUCACUGUGCCAGCCUAGAACACUGGUUUGGGGCCUGAGAAGACUUCCUCCUUCCAGGCUUUAGGCAUUAUCACUAGAAUCUCCAGGGGCACCAUUGAAAUUCUGAGUGGCAUGCAGCUGAUUAAGACUGGAGACGACGUGGGAGCCAGUGAAGCCACACUGCUGAACAUGUUGAACAUCUCCUCCUUCUCCUUUGGGCUGAUCAUCCAGCAGGUGUUUGAUAAUGGCAGCAUCUACAACUCUGAAGUGCUUGACAUCACAGAGGGAACUUCGCAUUCUCGCUUCUCGGGUGUCUGUAAUGUUGCCAGCAUAUGUCUGCAGAUUGGUUACCCAGCUGUUGCAUCAGUACCCCAUUCUAUCAUCAGUGGGUACAAGCGGGUCCUGGCUUUGUUUGUGGAGGCUGAUUACACCUUCCCACUUGCUGAGAGGAUCAAGGCCACUGCCACCACUGCUGCUCCUGCUGCUGCUGCAGCCCCAGCCAAGGUCAAAGCAAAGGAAGAGUUGGAGGAGUUGGACGUGGAUGUGGGAUUUGGUCUGUUUGACUAAUCACCAAAAGCAACCAAAUCAGCCAGUUUUAUUUGUGAAACAAGGAAGUAAAGGCUUACUUCUCUUAAA